CUACCAAGAGUCCGGGAUAACCCGGGAAAUGGGGAUAAUACCGGAUAGAUCAAACUUGCUGGAAGGCUGUUUGGUUGAAACUUCCGGGGCUUUUGGAUGGGUCUGCGGCUGAUUAGGUUGUUGCCGGUGUAACGUACCGUCAAGCCUGUAAUCAGUACGGGUUGUGGGAGCAAGAGCCCGGAGAUGGAUUCUGAGACACGAAUCCAGGCCCUACGGGGCGCAGCAGGCGCGAAAACUCUACAAUGCAGGCAACUGCGAUAGGGGAACAUCGAGUGAUCCUCAUAUUGGGGGUCUGUCCACCCGUCUAAAAAACGGGUGUUAGCAAGGGCCGGGCAAGACCGGUGCCAGCCGCCGCGGUAAUACCGGCGGCUCGAGUGGUGGCCGAUAUUAUUGAGUCUAAAGGGUCCGUAGCCGGCUUUGCAAGUCUCUCGGGAAAUCCAGCGGCUUAACCGUUGGUCGUCCGGGGGGUACUACAUUGCUUGGGACUGGGAGAGGUAGGAGGUACUCAGGGGGUAGGAGUGAAAUCCUGUAAUCCUCUGGGGACCACCGGUGGCGAAGGCGUCCUACCAGAACAGGUCCGACGGUGAGGGACGAAAGCUAGGGGCACGAACCGGAUUAGAUACCCGGGUAGUCCUAGCCGUAAACGAUGCUCGCUAGGUGUCACAACAGUCGUGAACUGUUGUGGUGCCGUAGGGAAGCCGUGAAGCGAGCCACUUGGAAUACGACCGCAAGGUUGAA
rnacentral:rRNA from 1 species